rnacentral:rRNA from 1 species
UAGUCUACGCCGUAAACGAUGGAUACUAGCUGUGGGAGGAAUCGACCCCCUCCGUAGCGAAGCUAACGCGUUAAGUAUCCCGCCUGGGGAGUACGGUCGCAAGAUUAAAACUCAAAGGAAUUGACGGGGACCCGCACAAGCGGUGGAGCGUGUUCUUUAAUUGGAGGCUAAGCCAAGAACCUUACCAAGGCUUGACAUCCUCUGAAGUUUGCCGAAAGGCGAAUGUGCAUUUGAACAGAGUGACAGGUGCUGCAUGGCCGUCGUCAGCUCGUGUCGUGAGAUGUUAGGUUAAGUCCUUUAACGAGCGCAACCCCUGUGAUUAGUUGUAUUUCUAAUCAGACUGCCUCGGUAACGGGGAGGAAGGAGGGGAUGAUGUCAGGUCCUUAUUGCCCUUACGCCUUGGGCUAGAAACGCGCUACAAUGGCUGGUACAAAGGGUUGCCAAAUCGCGAGAUGGAGCCAAUCCCAUCAAAGCCAGUCUCAGUUCGGAUUGCAGGCUGAAAUUCGCCUGCA